CGAAAAACAGGGUUUUGAACGCCGGUAGGUGUCGUUUAGUCGACAUAUUGUUAUCGUCUUCAUUCAAGGUCCUGCCUUUGAACGUCAAAGCUGCUCUUAAGGAAUUCUUAUUACUUAAGUUUUGUUCGCCAUGAUUCGCUUAAUCAACAAAGCUGCCAGUCUUAAACUCAAGUGCAAUCUCAACUCUUUGGCUGCAAGGUGCAUGUCAGCAGCACCUUCUUCAGGACUGCCUUCACCUCAAACAAAUCCUGAAAUUCUAUAUACAGGAGUGUUUAUUAACAAUGAGUGGCAUAAUUCUGUGUCUGGUAAAACAUUUCCAGUUUAUAAUCCUUCCACCGGUGAAGCAAUUGCAAAUAUACAAGCUGCCGAAAAGGAGGAUGUUAACAAAGCUGUGAAAGCUGCCCAAAAUGCAUUUCAAUUGGGUUCUACUUGGAGAACUAUGAAUGCUUCUUCACGAGGAAAUCUCUUGAAUCGCCUAGCAGACCUCAUGGAGAGGGACCGGGUUUAUUUGGCUAGUUUGGAAACCCUGAACAAUGGAAAACCUUACAGUGCAGCAUAUGCUGCUGACUUGGAGCUGAGCAUCAAAUGCUUUCGUUAUUACGCUGGGUGGGCCGAUAAGGUCCAAGGAAAAACCAUCCCAGUUGACGGAUCUUUCUUUGCAUUCACUCGUCAUGAACCCGUCGGAGUUUGCGGACAAAUCAUUCCAUGGAAUUUCCCUUUAUUGAUGCAAGCAUGGAAAUUGGGUCCAGCUCUCGCCACAGGAAACACUGUCGUCAUGAAGCCAGCUGAGCAGACACCCUUAACUGCCCUUUACGUUGCCGAGCUUAUCAAAGAAGCUGGAUUUCCUCCAGGAGUAGUAAACAUUGUACCUGGUUUCGGACCGACGGCAGGAGCUGCCAUUGCGUCACACAAAGGUGUCGAUAAAGUGGCAUUUACUGGAUCUACCGAGAUUGGACACCUGGUCAUGACAGCAGCAGCUCAAUCAAACUUGAAGCGCGUGACAUUGGAGCUUGGUGGCAAGUCACCCAACAUUAUUUUCAAGGAUUGCGAUCUCGAUCACGCAGUGGAAACCGCUCAUUUUGGAUUGUUCUUUAAUCAGGGUCAAUGCUGUUGCGCCGGAUCUCGUAUUUUCGUGGAAGAUUCGAUUUAUGACGAAUUUGUCGAGCGGAGCGUCGAACGUGCCAAAAAGAGAAAUGUGGGCAAUCCGUUUGAUUUGAACGUCGAACAAGGACCUCAAGUGGACGAAGAUCAGUUUAAAAAGAUCCUGGCACUCAUCGACACGGGCAAGAGAGAAGGUGCCAAACUUCUAACUGGCGGUCAACGCUACGGAGACCGCGGCUAUUUCAUCCAACCGACCGUGUUUGCUGACGUCAAAGAUGACAUGACCAUCGCCAGAGAAGAGAUCUUUGGACCAGUCCAACAAAUUUUGAAGUUCAGCUCGAUGGAAGAGAUCGUCGAACGCGCCAACAAGACCAUCUACGGCCUGGCAGCUGCCGUCUUCACCAAGGAUCUGGACAAGGCCAUGUAUCUCUCUCAAGGACUUCGCGCCGGAACUGUCUGGUAUUUUUCCUGUCAAAAAAUAUCUUCUUCAUCCUAGGGAAAAAUUGUCAAACUAACCUGAUAGAUCUCCGCCGAAACGGUGGUAGAGGACGCCGGCCCUUGCGAGCCACUCGAGAUGGGCCGAAUGGAACUGAUGGGCUGCCGGUGACGAGGCGGCGACAGCUGCGGCCGCCGCGGCUGCUGCAGCGUGAAGGGCCGCCGCCGGACUGGUGAACAACGGCCCGGCGUAAUUAGUCAGACUGCUGCUGGACGCUGUGGUGGCCGACGACGACGUCGUCAAACUGCUGGACACUGUCGGAGCGCAGGAGGAGGUCGGUGGGCCGUAAAUCAUUCGACUCAUGGAAUGCGGUUGAGUCCAGCAAGAAAGGCUGCCGGGCUGUGUGACGAGUGAGGACUGGGCUCCUUCUCGCUCGUUGGCCGGCCCGUCUUCUUUGUUGACGCUGCUGCUGCUGCUCUGCCGGCCGUCCGUCUCCUUCUCACCUUCGGCCGACGCCACGGAAUCACUCGACGGAAGAACUUUGUGACUGGACUCGACGGACGUCUCAAACGACGGGUAGUGAUGGUGAUGAAGUCCGCCAAAGAGAUUCGAACGGAAGCGGAUGGAAUCACCGUAACUGCUGACGAUCAGUUGCUGAUGGGCCGCAGCCGCUGCCGCCGCUGCCUGGGCGGCUUGAGACGGCAUCACGGAAUCAGCACUGGGUGCUGGACUUGUUGGGUGUGCAGCGGCCGGAACUGAGGGCAAAGGACGACUGGGCCUGGAACCGUCACCUUUUGGGGAAAGAGUCUACGAUCCUGGAACAAAAACACUGAGAUAUCGCGUUCGUUCACAGAGCACCAAGUCGCUUGGCUGCUGGUGGUGGUGGUGGUGGUGGUGGUGGGGGGAGAGAGAACGUAGAGGAGCAAAGGGGGCGGAGCCUCGACCCACUCGUGAUGAAGGCCAGCCAGUAGAGUGGCAGAGCUUUGUCCCGUCUCGCUCCAAUCCCGUGGGCGACUCGCUUCCAAAUGGGCGGAGUUUUUGCACGACUAUCAGAUUCUGCCGGACGACGGAUCUCUUUCGCCGGAUUGAUCUCUCAUUUCGGUGCGUGCUGCGUCUAAUAUUCUUCCCUUUUCAAUUGUCGUGACUCGGAUCGUCACUUGACUCGAAUGAUGGCCGUCAUUUUUCAGCAUCGACUUUUCAACGGACGAUAAUAACAACCCCAAAAAACGGCCGUCGCCUCGCAGCUACAACAUUCCGAUUCCGCUGGAUCACUUUUUCUUCUUCUGCCCAGUCUUGGGCGUCGGGCGAAGGUUAAGCAGAUGCAUGAACGAGCUUGCAUUAUGCUAAUGAAAUGGGCAGACAGCAGGGAGUUGAUUGGACCAACAUCAACGACCCAACUUUGAUGUGACAUCCAGGAGCAGCAGCAGCCGUCGGCGUCGUCCAACACAAGAAGAAGAUGCAACAAAACAUGCCAACUUUUUCUCUGGCGUUUAAUGACGGCCCAGUUAGGAGCCGGGAAUCUUUUUUUUUUCUUCUUCGUUGGGCGUCGGAUGCGCCGUCGUAAAACAAGAAAAUAAGAAAAAAGGGAGAAAAAAGUCCCGACGACUUUGGGGGCUCAGACUGGCGGGUCUUGUGCGGGCGCGUUGAGUGGAUUCGAAGCGGAAAACUGAGGUGUUUGCUCUCCUGCAAAAUGGAGGGUAGGGAGGACUGGAUUUUCGUCCGGCUCGUGUUUGCUUAGCGUCGGAUAAAACGUGGCUAACGAGAGCUAACGAGGUUGGCAGAGCAAGCUCUUUUGCCGACGAGGCCUUGAUUCGAUUAGGAGACGCCAUUUGGUCUCGUCACCUAACAGCAUUAAGACUCGUUCCGUAAAAUCCAAAAAGGAUUUGUAUAUUCCGUCUGUCUUCUUCUUCUUCUUUUUCCCUUUUGUUAUUUCUUUUUUCUGUUAGAUUUCCCCCUUUUUUGUUUUGUCUACUUUGCAGCCAGGAGCAUUCAGCAGCGUUCAAAGUUGUGUGUUUAUCCAAUGGCAGCGAUGCGUGCGUUUAUGCAGACUUUUUGUCCCCCCCCCCCCUUUACUGCUGGAUGCUGCUGGAUGCUGGCUGCUGGUGCGGACGAGGAGGACGCUUUUGGACGCUUUAGGGACGGGCUACGAGGGUCUAAUCCGAUUGAGCGACUCGACUCUCUGUUGUAUAGUCGGUCGUCAUCGUUGUCGGACGCUCGGAAUAAUAAUCAAGUCAACAGUGGCGACCCGCCACUGUGUUGCUGCUUCUGCUGCGCUUGUGCUGCUCUUUCCAGCUCCCAAAGUAUCAUCGAAGACAGCAGCAAAAACUGGAAUUGGAUUACUCUCGCUUUAAACGCAGCAUCGAGGAUUACAUUCGAGCCUCCUUUUCGCUCUCGUGCAUCGACAACUUCUCCACGGACGGGCCAGCACUGCUUCUCCUCCUGCGCUCCUGCUGCUGCUGCUGCCAAAGGAAAACUUUCAAUUGGCUAGAAUCAACACAGCUCGAUGACACAGAUGGCUUCACGACAAACGUGUUUCCUAGUGGCUCACAUCAGCCCUGAUUGGCCGUGGAAGCGUUCACUCUGUCUUCUCGACGAAUUCAUUUCGAUUUUACAGUUUUCUCCUUUUGUGGAGUAUGUGGACCACUUCGCAAUUAGGUUCCACGGCCCUCCGUCGCCGAUAACAACUCGCUGCUGCUAUGUUUACUCUAAAUUACAAAUAAUACUCUCUGUGAUUUUAGCGUGUUGUAAUUUUUUUGUAAUCGCCUUAUACGAUUAAUUAUUAAUUA